GGGAUGGUGGAGAAGAAGAAAAAAAAAGAGGAGGAGAAGAAAGAGAAAGAAAGAAGCACGGCGCGCGUCGCUCACGGCCGAAAAAGAGAAGUUGUGUGCGGUGUCAGGCGCAUGGUGCGUGCUACCGCUAAAGAAGAAGAAGAGGAAGAAGAAGAAGAAGGAGGAGGAAGAGGAGGAGGAAGGAAGCAUGGCAUAUGACGGGAAAAAGGGCUGUGCACGGUGCGUAGUGCCGGUGCACGACGCGCACAACUGGGAGAAAAAGUUGCAUGCGGCGUACAGUUCGUGCUGCCGGGAGUGCAGUGUGUGGUGUGGGGUACGCAGUGUCGGGUGUGCGGUGUGUGGUGCCGAGCGCGCGGUGCGUAGUGCUGAGCGUGCAAAUCGAGGU
rnacentral:lncRNA from 1 species